CGAGCCGAUAUCGUCGACUUGAUAGAUCGUCAAUGUCCGAUCGAACCGCAGUCGUUUGGCGUCUGCGGCCCGAACACGGGAGAGACCGCUGAGCGUCACCAA
rfam:Rhodococcus sp. EPR-157 Scaffold16_3, whole genome shotgun sequence.